rnacentral:tRNA from 1 species
AGUUAAUUAACUUAAGAAAGUAUGUGUUUUGAAAACAUAAGAAUAGAAAAAAUUGUUACUAUUAACUU